rnacentral:sRNA from 1 species
AUGUACUACUCGUGCAGUCCGAUUCCAAGCGCGCAGUCCACACCUACCUGGCGACUGCUCGCUACGUUUUGCUAGCC